rnacentral:rRNA from 1 species
UACGGGAGGCAGCAGGGGGGAAUAUUGCACAAUGGGCGCAAGCCUGAUGCAGCCAUGCCGCGUGUAUGAAGAAGGCCUUCGGGUUGUAAAGUACUUUCAGUCGUGAGGAAGGUGUUAAGGUUAAUAACCUUAGCAAUUGACGUUAGCGACAGAAGAAGCACCGGCUAACUCCGUGCCAGCAGCCGCGGUAAUACGGAGGGUGCGAGCGUUAAUCGGAAUUACUGGGCGUAAAGGGCACGCAGGCGGUUAAUUAAGUUGGAUGUGAAAUCCCCGGGCUUAACCUGGGAAUGGCAUUCAAGACUGGUUAGCUAGAGUCUUGUAGAGGGGGUAGAAUUCCAUGUGUAGCGGUGAAAUGCGUAGAGAUGUGGAGGAAUACCGGUGGCGAAGGCGGGCCCCUGGACAAAGACUGACGCUCAUGUGCGAAAGCGUGGGGAGCAAACAGGGAUUAGAUA